rnacentral:rRNA from 1 species
UACGGAGGGUGCAAGCGUUGUCCGGAAUCAUUGGGCGUAAAGCGCGUGUAGGCGGCUUCGUAAGUCCGUUGUGAAAGUCCAGGGCUCAACCCUGGAAUGCCGAUGGAUACUGCGGAGCUAGAGUCCGGAAGAGGCGAGUGGAAUUCCUGGUGUAGCGGUGAAAUGCGUAGAUAUCAAGAGGAACACCAGUGGCGAAGGCGAGUCCCUGGACAACACCUGACACUGAGGCACGAAAGCUAGGGGAGCAAACAGG